GAACGUGCCCAGGGAUAUCCAGCUGCCUCCUGCCUUGCCUUGUCUCUGAGCUCACAGGAGGAGGGGGCAAACCACAAUAAUUAAGCAGCAGCUCAUUCUGCAAUCAGUGGAAGAGGAAGCUGGAGUGUAGCUGAGGACAGGGAUCCUGGGGGAAAAGAACAAGAGAAGGAAAAUAACUAUCUGAGCCUCCUGGUAGUCAGCAGCAGUGGACAAAUGACCAGAUUCCACAGGUUGCCAAGAGAAACUGAACAUCAGAGUAUUUUACCCACCCUGAAAAAACCUGCCAUUAUCUCUGUGCCCACCACAACUUCUCAUCAGGAUUCCUAUUCGUACACUUCCACUCCAACACAACCCUGGAUGUGAUUUGGGUAGCAUGGACGAGCUGGCAAGUGAUUACUGGUGGCUUGCAUAGAUCAAGCUGGACCAAAGGACCUGCCUCUCCUCCUUGUUUCUGGUGACACAAUCACAAUUAGAGAGGCUAACAACAAUUAAAUACCUUUGAGAAUCUGGGCCUUAGUAAUCAGCCAGGAUUCUGUGUCUGUCAGUCUUCUCUUUUUAACUUUAUGUAUUUCAGAAGUUUA